UCGCAGUGCUACGACACGGCCGUUUGCGCCGCCCCGUCCUUACCCGGCGGUGGGUACGGGGACGGGGCGGCUUAUUGGAGCUGCAGAAACGACCGCGGGCAGAAGCGCCGAGAAACGAACGGGAAACGUUUAAUCCACGAACGCACACAGCGACAAACAGAGAAACGACCGCGUUGCCAACCGGCUCCCGUACAAACGGCGACUCUGGAGGACGGCUCGGUGCCGGCGGGGGAUGGACAGGCCCCGCGCCGCCUUCCUCCGACCGCCCGGCGUCCCCGAGGCACGGGGCGGGCGGCGGCGCAGCGCCGCUUUCCCCGCACGGAGCCCCGCGGCUCCGCCGCCACUGCAGAAGGGGCCGGGCGCUGCGCGCGGGGUCCUUUCCGCCCGCUGUCGCGCCGUCAUUGCGUCAUCACCGCGCGUCCCGCAGGGCCCCGGCCCGGCUGCCCGCGGCGAUGCCUGCGGUUGUUGCGUUGCGGGAACUCAGCGCAGCCUGCAGAGAGCGGUCCGGCGGCACGGGAAGAUGGAGGCCGUGCGGUGCGAGUGCCUCAGCGGUGUGUGCAGCCCGCGAGGAGCCGAGCGGGGCCGGGAAAAGGAAGCCGUGGGAGUCCCGGGGAGGGACGCGCGAUGGCAGCGUCAGCGGCGGGCUCGGCUGCUGCCUCCUCCGCUCCUGACGCCGCGCGCUGGCGCACUUUGAGAAGCGCCCAGAAGCCGGAGCCCGCUGUCACAUCUGUGGGGUUCCACGGAACGCGCAGACGUGGGCUGCCAGCUGCUGGUGGACCUGAAUGAGAAGAGAUUGACCCAAAACUCGAAUGAUGGUGAGUGUGCUUGUUUGCUGUGCCACGCUGUGCCAGGCAUUUGCUGCAAUCAAGUCAGCGUAGGGAGUGUAGAGGACAAUGCACGUCUGCUUUUCCUGCUUGAGAAAAUCCAACUGAAUGCCAGCUCACAGAGGAAGUAUUUUUCCAGAUAAACUCUCUGGGCAUGCUGUUCUCUCCUGGUUGAACCCAAAGGUUCCACCCAUGCAGAGGUUAUUCCUGUGCCCGUCUUCCAAAGCCCAGGCUCCAUGAAGGCACAGAUGAAGAUGCCAUCACUGACGGCUUGACCAAACUCAAUGCUUCCCAACGUCAGCGAGUUCUGAUCACCUACAAGAGCACUCCUGCAGGGUUUGAUCGAUGACUGGAAGUGACUUGAAGCUGAGUGGGAAUUCUGAGAGGGUGAUGACUGGGAUGAUGACUGCCAGCACCGUGUGUGACGUGCAGAACUAAGGAGGGCUGUGAAGGUUUGGAAGUCUUCCUUUCGAAUGGCUCAAGUUCUGGCCAAGGACUUGCUGCUUUGUUAUGUAUGCCUUCUUAUUUAUUAACUCUUAAAGAAACCUGGCUGCACGUCACAAGCAGGUGCUGGUAUCUGAAAUCUUGCUUGGCGAUUCCCUAGGGAGCAGGAACAGGUGAAGGCUGCCUGAUUGAAAUUCUGGCUUCUCGCACCAGUGAAGAGAUUGGUCGCAUUGAUGAGAACUGCGAGCUUCAAGGAGCCCAAAGCACACCUGAGCUGCGUUUCGCUGUCUUUGUGAGCUGUGUUCCCUUUGAAGGACUCCAUUAUCCAUCUCCAGCACCCGUUCCUGAAUGGGGAGUUCUCAGGAGUUGCUUCCAGUAGAUGCUCUGGUGAACCGAGUCUUCUCUCCUUGGGUCCUUGCAGGGAACAGAGGUCAGUUGUCCAUCUCAACAUCCAGCGCAGGAACAACAUUUCAUUCCCACAGUGCAUAAUGCUGUGAAGGCAUCGCAGGCCGCCCGCUCGUCUCCGCUGUGCUCAGGGGCUUUGCUGAGCUGCAGGCCCAGCGCUGCAGCCCCACAGCGCAGCCUCACGUCUGGUGACGGACUGCAGCUGGAAAACCCUGGCAGCGGAGGACGCUCCUGCCCCACAGAAGGACUCGCAGCUCCAGCGCCCUCAGUGCUGGAAGGAGGCUGCGGUGCCUCCACGUGAUGG